AGUGAACGCUGGCGGUAGGCCUAACACAUGCAAGUCGAACGGCAGCACAGAGGAGCUUGCUCCUUGGGUGGCGAGUGGCGGACGGGUGAGGAAUACAUCGGAAUCUACUCUGUCGUGGGGGAUAACGUAGGGAAACUUACGCUAAUACCGCAUACGUCCUACGGGUGAAAGCAGGGGACCUUCGGGCCUUGCGCGAUUGAAUGAGCCGAUGUCGCAUUAGCUAGUUGGCGGGGUAAAGGCCCACCAAGGCGACGAUCCGUAGCUGAUCUGAGAGGAUGAUCAGCCACACUGGAACUGAGACACGGUCCAGACUCCUACGGGAGGCAGCAGUGGGGAAUAUUGGACAAUGGGCGCAAGCCUGAUCCAGCCAUACCGCGUGGGUGAAGAAGGCCUUCGGGUUGUAAAGCCCUUUUGUUGGGAAAGAAAUCCAGCUGGCUAAUACCCGGUUGGGAUGACGGUACCCAAAGAAUAAGCACCGGCUAACUUCGUGCCAGCCGCCGCGGUAA
rnacentral:rRNA from 1 species